rnacentral:rRNA from 1 species
CAAUAGCGUAUAUUAAAGUUGUUGCGGUAAAAAAGCUCGUAGUUGGAUUUCUACCGAAGAUAGCCGGUCGGGUCUUCGACCUUGUAUCUGGUUUUGUCUUUGGUAUCCUCAUAGGGAACGUUUCUGCGCUUUAUUGCGUGGUGCGGUAUCUAUGACUUUUACUUUGAGGAAAUUAGAGUGUUCACGGCAGGCAAACGCCUUGAAUAUAUUAGCAUGGAAUAAUAACAUAGGAUCUUCGUCCUAUUUUGUUGGUUUCUAGGGCUAAGAUAAUGAUUAAUAGGGAUAAUUGGGGGCAUCUGUAUCAACGCGUCAGAGGUGGAAUUCUUGGAUUGCGUUGCGACAAACUACUGCGAAAGCGUUUGCCAAGGAUGUUUUCAUUGA